CGAAAAUUGACGGAACAUGAAUCAAUUUUUUUUCCUCCAGAUGAGGCAGCUUUCUUCUUGUUCUUUCUCCGGAAAGCAGCCUUUUUCACUCAAAAAUAAGCUACCGUUUUAUAUGUUUUUUCUCUGUCAAUUAAGCCACCGAACACGUGUGUUUUCCGCCGUAAUUUUCAGCCUUUUCCUCCUCUGUUUGCAUGUAUAAUAUCCCCAAAUUUUCCUCUAAUUCAGCCACCAAUUGCCCUUCAAUUUCUGCUUUUUUUCUUUUCCGUUCAGCUGCCUGUUUGCAUGUAUAAAUUCUGCCUCUUUUUCUCAAUUUCAGCAAAUGCCGACUUGUAUAUAUGUAAUCACCAAAACAGAUUCCCAAUUGUUGACAUGAAAAAGAACACCCAAAGUAGCCGCAUUGACUUGAAAAAGAUCACCCAAAGUAGCCGCACUUUUUUCUCAAUGUUUUUUUCAACAAAAGUUCCUUUUAAUUCAGUCGUCCUUUUUUUGUGUAAACCAGAUUUCAAUUCCCAGCCUUUUUAAUUCUCUCCCCUUGUGCUGAAAUUUC
rnacentral:lncRNA from 1 species